ACACCGGUGGUGAAGUGGUUAUCAUGCUUGCCUUCCAUGGCGCGGAACUUGAACCCGUCGAUAAAUUAGCAAGCGGCACGGGUUCGAUUCCCGUCCGGUGUA
rnacentral:tRNA from 1 species